rfam:Pelodiscus sinensis unplaced genomic scaffold scaffold351, whole genome shotgun sequence.
GGAGGGAUAGCUCAGUGGUUUGAGCAUUGGCCUGCUAAACCCAGGGUUGUGAGUUCAAUCCUUGCGCCAUUUA